UAAUACAUGCAAGUGCAACGCAUUUUUCAAUCAUCGUAGCUUGCUACACCGAUUGAAAAUUGAGUGGCGAACGGGUGAGUAACACGUGGGUAACCUGCCCAAAAGAGGGGGAUAACACUUGGAAACAGGUGCUAAUACCGCAUAACCAUGAUGACCGCAUGGUCAUUAUGUAAAAGAUGGUUUCGGCUAUCACUUUUGGAUGGACCCGCGGCGUAUUAACUUGUUGGUGGGGUAACGGCCUACCAAGGUAAUGAUACGUAGCCGAACUGAGAGGUUGAUCGGCCACAUUGGGACUGAGACACGGCCCAAACUCCUACGGGAGGCAGCAGUAGGGAAUCUUCCACAAUGGGCGCAAGCCUGAUGGAGCAACGCCGCGUGAGUGAAGAAGGUCUUCGGAUCGUAAAACUCUGUUGUUAGAGAAGAACAUGCGAGAGAGUAACUGUUCUUGUAUUGACGGUAUCUAACCAGAAAGCCACGGCUACUACGUGCCAGCAGCCGCGGUAAUAC
rnacentral:rRNA from 2 species